rnacentral:rRNA from 1 species
UACGGAGGGUGGCGAGCGUUGUCCGGAUUUAUUGGGUUUAAAGGGUGCGUAGGCGGCUUUGUAAGUCAGUGGUGAAAUAUGUCAGCUCAACUGAGAGGGUGCCAUUGAUACUGCGGAGCUUGAGUACAGAUGAGGUAGGCGGAAUUGACGGUGUAGCGGUGAAAUGCUUAGAUAUCGUCAAGAACACCUAUAGCGAAGGCAGCUUACUAGGCUGUAACUGACGCUGAGGCACGAAAGUGUGGGGAUCAAACAGG